AGAACGAACGCUGGCGGCAUGCCUAAUACAUGCAAGUCGAACGAACACUUCGGUGUUAGUGGCGCACGGGUGCGUAACGCGUGGGAAUCUGCCCUUGGGUUCGGAAUAACAGUUGGAAACGACUGCUAAUACCGGAUGAUAUCGAAAGAUCAAAGAUUUAUCGCCCAGGGAUGAGCCCGCGUAGGAUUAGCUAGUUGGUGAGGUAAAGGCUCACCAAGGCGACGAUCCUUAGCUGGUCUGAGAGGAUGAUCAGCCACACUGGGACUGAGACACGGCCCAGACUCCUACGGGAGGCAGCAGUAGGGAAUAUUGGACAAUGGGCGCAAGCCUGAUCCAGCAAUGCCGCGUGAGUGAUGAAGGCCUUAGGGUUGUAAAGCUCUUUUACCCGAGAUGAUAAUGAACAGUAAUCGGAAGAAUAAGCCCCGGCUAACUCCGUGCCAGCAGCCGC
rnacentral:rRNA from 1 species